GCGAGAAGGGUGAAAAAGCUGGGAGCUGGGAGCGGGAAAAGGUCACCAGGUCGCAAAGGUCACCAGGUCGCAAAGGUCAGAGGUUAUAUUCGAACCUAGGUUUUCUGACUCCAGAGCUAGACACUAUGUAUUGGAAUACCUGCCAUCUGGGGAGGGGAAUUUGGAACAGAAGGUUUUGCAAAGGAGAAUGAGCAUCCAGAAAUGGAACUGAUCAUGUAACAACUUUAUGGACUUCAAAAUGUCAGAAUCAUCAGAAGUUCCCCUUAGCAAUCAAUUAGUUGCAGAUAUUACUGGGGUGUGCCUUUGAGUCUGAGUCCGUAAGCUAUCCUGGAGAGGCAAGCUACUUAAUCCAACCCAUCUUAAAAGAACACAACACUGUGCUGAUCCAGUUAGGAGGAUCUAACUCAUUUGAGCAAAGGAGCAACUUAUGCAUCAAUACUAACCUAAGAAAACUUACUGGGGCUUCACAGAGACAGAAAAGAACUCCUGGAGUCUUGACUCACAGACUUAAGUGAUCCCUAACUAUAUGCCUCAAUCCCAUUAUGCAUCCAUCUCUGUUUGUGAAAGAGGGAGAAUGUGUUCUCAAGUUGAAAGGUGUUUUGUACAAACGGCUUUAAGUUUAAGCCCAUUAUAUCCAUAGAAUCAUGCAGAUGGGAGAAUACAUCCUUAAUUUGGUGGGUAUUUUGAAAGGGCAAUUCUGCAUUAUCUUCUCAGUAAAAUCUUUUUGUAAAAAUUGAUACCAACUAAUAAAUGAAUAUUGGAGAGAACAUACCAGUAGGGUCUUUUAAACAACAGUAUUCUCACCUUAGAAUUUAAUAGGCUUGACUAAUUUUUUUUUUUCCUUUAAAAGGAUUUAGAACUAUUUUUAAGAUCUGUUAGCUAUCCAUAUUUAUUUUCAGAUGAAGCCAAAGUACUAUCUGUUCUGAAGAGAAAAGGAUUCCUUAGAAACUCCCUUCAAAAGAGGCAGCUAGAUGACUCAAUGGUAAGAUUACCAGCCCUGGAGUCAGGAGAUUCUGAAUACAUUAUUUGCAUCUACACACUGGACAAUGUGAUGCAAGGACAAUGUCCUAAAUAGGUUAGACUGACCAGUGUAGUAUGGCCACCCUCAGGCUGGGAUAUUUCAGGCUUAAAAGUGAAGGUCUGCUUAGACACACAGAUAACUCAGAUCAAGAUCAAGUAAGCCUGAAAAUCCCACAAAAAACUAGAAGGGGGCAGAGCGUUACCCUAGUACAAUAACCCAAUUUAAAAAGGCAGCAAAGAGUAAGUAAAAGGAAGUGUUGACUAUACUAAAAUUAUCAUCCUGGAAUACUCCCCAAACCAACCUAUUAAUAGAAACUAAUUUCACAACAAGAAGCAGAAACUAAAAAUUUGUUAAUGAUUUUUUUUUUUUUUUAACAAGGAGAAUGUGAAUAACCAGAAAGAAACGAAGCAAGAGACAAAAAAUGAAAUAGAAAAGAUCUGGUAAAAAAAAAAAAAAAAAAAGAAUUAGAAGAAUCACUAGCUUAGAAAAGUAGUAAACCUUAUUGGGUUCUC